rnacentral:rRNA from 1 species
GAUGAACGCUGGCGGCGUGCCUAACACAUGCAAGUCGAGCGGUAAGGCUCUCACUCUGUGUUGAAAGUAUUUUUUGAACAUAGUGUGAGAGUACACGAGCGGCGGACGGCUGAGUAGCGCGUAGGAACGUACCCCGAAGUGAGGGAUAAGCUCCGGAAACGGAGUCUAAUACCACAUGUUAUCUUUGGAUUAAAGCUUUUAGCGCUUUGGGAGCGGCCUGCGUCCGAUUAGUUUGUUGGUGAGGUAAUGGCUUACCAAGGCGAUGAUCGGUAGCUGGUCUGAGAGGAUGAUCAGCCAGACUGGGACUGAGACACGGCCCAGACUCCUACGGGAGGCUG